rnacentral:rRNA from 1 species
UUUGGAUUGUAAACCUCUUUUCUCAAUGGAAGAAGUUCUGACGGUACUUGAGGAAUCAGCCUCGGCUAACUCCGUGCCAGCAGCCGCGGUAAUACGGGGGAGGCAAGCGUUAUCCGGAAUUAUUGGGCGUAAAGCGUCCGCAGGUGGUCAGCCAAGUCUGCCGUCAAAUACAGGUUGCUUAACGACCAAAGGCGGUGGAAACUGGCAGACUAGAGAGCAGUAGGGGUAGCAGGAAUUCCCAGUGUAGCGUGAAAUGCGUAGAGAUUGGGAAGAACAGUCGGUGGCGAAAGCGUGCUACUGGGCUGUAUCUGACACUCAGGGACGAAAGCUAGGGGAGCGAAAGGGAUUAGAUACCCCUGUAGUCCUAGCCGUAAACGAUGGAUACUAAGCGUGGCUUGUAUCGACCCGAGCCGUGCCGAAGCUAACGCGUUAAGUAUCCCGCCUGGGGAGUACGCACGCAAGUGUGAAACUCAAGGAAUUGACGGGGGCCCGCACAAGCGGUGGAGUAUGUGGUUUAAUUCGAUGCAACGCGAAGAACCUUACCAAGACUUGACAUGUCGCGAACCCUGGUGAAAGCUGGGGGUGCCUUCCGGGAGCGCGAACA